rnacentral:lncRNA from 1 species
GAAGUUCACCAAAUCCAGCGAAUUUUAGUUCUACUAGGCUGAGGAGUGCCAGUAGAUAGCUCGCUAGAGCUUAGGGCAAGAAGGGCAAAAAUGAGGCCUUGAUGUGAAAGGUUUUUGGUUGGGUUUAGGGGCAAGGAAAAGGUGUGGUGGGUGUUGCAGACCUUUCAAUGGUCCACAUGGAGGUGGAAGCUCACUGGCAGCAGAUGAUCGUGGA